AGGCCUAUCAGUAUCCUGAGUAGGGCGGGACACGUGAAAUCCCGUUUGAAUCCGCGAGGACCAUCUCGCAAGGCUAAAUACUAACCAGUGACCGAUAGUGAACCAGUACCGUGAGGGAAAGGUGAAAAGAACCCCGGGAGGGGAGUGAAAGAGAACCUGAAACCGUGUGCCUACAAGUAGUCAGAGCCCGUUAACGGGUAAUGGCGUGCCUUUUGUAGAAUGAACCGGCGAGUUGCGUUAGUCAGCAAGGUUAAGUCAGAAAAGACGGAGCCGUAGCGAA
rnacentral:rRNA from 1 species